GAAAAAACAAACCCUAGUUUUCCUGUCCAACGUUUGACUGUCCGUCUUAUUUAAAAAAAUUAUAAAAAAAAUUAAAAAGACAAGUCACACAUAAAGUAUUAAUCAUGUUUUAUCAUCUAUCAACAAUGAAAAUACUAAUUAUAAAAAAAAUUCGUAUAAGAUGGAUAGUCAAACGAUGACAUAGGAACCCACAGUUUACUUUUUU
rfam:Oryza glaberrima chromosome 1 Oglab01_0264_27, whole genome shotgun sequence.